rnacentral:rRNA from 1 species
GACGAACGCUGGCGGCGUGCUUAACACAUGCAAGUCGAACGGAAAGGCCCUGCUUGCAGGGUACUCGAGUGGCGAACGGGUGAGUAACACGUGGGUGAUCUGCCCUGCACUUCGGGAUAAGCCUGGGAAACUGGGUCUAAUACCGGAUAGGAGCCAUUUUUAGUGUGAUGGUUGGAAAGUUUUUUCGGUGUAGGAUGAGCUCGCGGCCUAUCAGCUUGGUGGUGGGGUAAUGGCCUACCAAGGCGGCGACGGGUAGCCGGCCUGAGAGGGUGGACGGCCACAUUGGGACUGAGAGACGGCCCAGACUCCUACGGGAGGCAGCAGUGGGGAAUAUUGCACAAUGGGCGCAAGCCUGAUGCAGCGACGCCGCGUGGGGGAUGACGGCCUUCGGGUUGUAAACUCCUUUCGCUAGGGACGAAGCUUUUUGUGACGGUACCUAGAUAAGAAGCACCGGCUAACUACGUG